rnacentral:lncRNA from 1 species
UUAUUUUUAUAUAUAAACACGAUUUAUGAUAUUUAUAUGUUUUAUAUAAUUUGCAGAAAGUAAAAAUUUUAUCCACAAUUAGAUAUUGCAGAUCAUUAUCAUGCGUUGACAUAUAUGACAAUCUUUUGUCCUUAGGAGGAGGAAAAGGAAAAUGGUUUAUCUGUUUACAAAAUGAGCAAACAAAUAUAAAUUCAAAAAAAAAAGAUGAAAGUUCUUUGAUCUGUUAUAAGGUAUUAACAAUAUAAGAAAUAAUUAGGGUGUAUACUAAUAAUAAAACUAUACAUAUAUUUUUGUGUUCAAAAUUAUAUUACUUUGUUUUAUUUUGUUUGUUUUAUUUUGUUUGUUUUAUUUUGUUUGUNNNNNNNNNNUGUUUGUUUUAUUUUGUUUGUUUUAUUUUGUUUGUUUUAUUUUGUUUUAUUUUGUUUGUUUUAUUUUGUUUUGUUUUAUUUUAUUUUAUAUUUUUUUUUUUUUGUACAUUAUUUUAUUAGGAUCCAAUUUUUUUUUUCGAAAACAAGGAUAUAUCUACUUUAGUUAGACAAUUUAAAUUAAAUGAAGCUUUGAUGUCAAUAAUUAUGAAAGACCCCCGCUCUACAGCUUCCUUAUUAGAAUAUUACUCCAAAAACCAUAUUCUACGUAUAGCAUGUAAAACACAUUCCAUAGAAGAUGCAAUACGUGUCAUUCAAUACAUAAGAAAAUAUUUUACAUCAGAUGCUAUAAUAUCAGAGUUUUUCGCAGAAUAUUUAGAUGUUAACCAAUGGAUAAAUGCCACAACGAAUGAGAAGCUGUCAAAUGAAUUGUCACUGUUAAAUCGGGUAAUAAUGAAAAAAGAAAAAAAAGAAAAGAGAAAAAAAAUAUUGAAAUAAAGAAGCAAUCGAAAAUAUCAAUAGAAACAAUAUAUACACAUUAUGCCAUUUUCUAUUCUUUUUCUCAGGUAAUUCAAAACGAGAUGGUUGUUAUUCAAAAAUUUAAGGAGUUAAAAACUUUUACCGACAAUUUAUUUAAUAAAAGUCAAUAGUAUAACUUUUGUAUGCUUUAA